GACGAACCGCGCGAACGUUGUUCGGAAUCACUGGGCUUAAAGGGCGCGUAGGCGGGCCCGCAAGUCUGGGGUGAAAUCCCACGGCUCAACCGUGGAAGUGCCUUUGAUACUGCGGGUCUGGAGGGAGGUAGGGGCGUGCGGAACUUCCGGUGGAGCGGUGAAAUGCGUAGAUAUCGGAAGGAACACCGGUGGCGAAAGCGGCGCGCUGGACCUCUACUGACGCUGAGGCGCGAAAGCCAGGGGAGCAAACGGG
rnacentral:rRNA from 1 species